GACGGAGGGUGCUAGCGUUGUUCGGAAUGACUGGGCGUAAAGGGUGCGUAGGUGGCAUGGUAAGUCGGAUGUGAAAUCCCGGGGCUCAACCCCGGAACUGCAUUCGAUACUGCUGCGCUAGAGUACUGGAGAGGAGAUUGGAAUUUACGGUGUAGCAGUGAAAUGCGUAGAUAUCGUAAGGAAGACCAGUGGCGAAGGCGGAUCUCUGGACAGUUCCUGACACUGAGGCACGAAGGCCAGGGGAGCAAACGGG
rnacentral:rRNA from 1 species